AGUGAACGCUGGCGGUGGGCCUAACACAUGCAAGUCGAACGGCAGCACAGUAAGAGCUUGCUCCUACGGGUGGCGAGUGGCGGAUGGGUGAGGAAUACAUCGCAAUCUACUUUUUCGUGGGGGAUAACGUAGGGAAACUUACGCUAAUACCGCAUACGACCUACGGGUGAAAGCAGGGGAUCUUCGGCCCUUGCGCGAUUGAAUGAGCCGAUGUCGGAUUAGCUAGUUGGCGGGGUAAAGGCCCACCAAGGCGACGAUCCGUAGCUGGUCUGAGAGGAUGAUCAGCCACACUGGAACUGAGACACGGUCCAGACUCCUACGGGAGGCAGCAGUGGGGAAUAUUGGACAAUGGGCGCAAGCCUGAUCCAGCCAUACCGCGUGGGUGAAGAAGGCCUUCGGGUUGUAAAGCCCUUUUGUUGGGAAAGAAAAGCAGCAGGUUAAUACCCCGCUGUUCUGACGGUACCCAAAGAAUAAGCACCGGCUAACUUCGUG
rnacentral:rRNA from 1 species